CGGACCAGUACCGUGAGGAAGGCGAAAAGAACCCCGGAGAGGGAGUGAAAUAGAACCUGAAACCGUAUGCGUACAAGCAGUGGGAGCCUACUUUGUUAGGUGACUGCGUACCUUUUGUAUAAUGGGUCAGCGACUUAUUUUCAGUGGCGAGCUUAACCGAAUAGGGGAGGCGUAGCGAAAGCGAGUCUUAAUAGGGCGUCUAGUCGCUGGGAAUAGACCCGAAACCGGGCGAUCUAUCCAUGGGCAGGUUGAAGGUUAGGUAACACUGACUGGAGGACCGAAUCGACUACCUUUGAAAAGUUAGCGGAUGACCUGUGGAUCGGAGUGAAAGGCUAAUCAAGCUCGGAGAUAGCUGGUUCUCCUCGAAAGCUAUUUAGGUAGCGCCUCGUGUAUCACUGCUGGGGUAGAGCACUGUUUCGGCUAGGGGGUCAUCCCGACUUACCAAACCGAUGCAAACUCCGAAUACCAGCAAGUGUCAGCACGGGAGACACACGGCGGGUGCUAACGUCCGUCGUGAAAAGGGAAACAACCCAGACCGUCAGCUAAUGUCCCAAAAUCCUGGUUAAGUGGGAAAC
rnacentral:rRNA from 1 species